GGAAAGGAGGAGGAUGUUUGGACAAAUUGAUUCUCCAUGAAAGUGGCAUUAGGAAAGGACCUGGCUUCAGACAGUCUCCAAUAAACCAUCCACAAGUGGAUGCAUAGGCUGAGAAUGGGAGAAGUACUUGGGAUGCAAAGAUUAUCUGUCCCCAAACAGGAAAACCUAGCAGAGUAAUGUACCCAGUGUGCUUCCAAGAGCAAUGACUCACGAGGACCUCCCUCCUCCAGCAUCCUCCUGGAUCAUGUUGCAAGAGGAUAGACACCUGAAAUGACCUGGGGCAAUAGCAGCAAAACAUUCCUUCUUCUCAACUGCACAUGGAACUUCUCCAGUUUAGGCACAUGCUAAGUCACCAAGCGAAUGGAAUCCCAUCUGGCGCCCCCCUAGAUGCUGGUUUCACCUUCCAUUCACCUGGAUGCUGUCCUCCACAUCCAGACACCGGCCUCAUUUGGAAUGAGACUCUUUGCCCCUAGCCAGCAGGAAGAAGUUACAGAAGAAAGACCAUCAUCCCACCCUGGUAUCUAAAAAAAAAAAAAAAAAAAGGCAUCAGCUGCUACCAAUAUUCUGCCCCUCCC